UACGUAGGGUGCAAGCGUUGUCCGGAAUUAUUGGGCGUAAAGAGCUCGUAGGCGGUUUGUCGCGUCUGCUGUGAAAACUCGGGGCUUAACCCCGGGCCUGCAGUGGGUACGGGCAGACUAGAGUGCGGUAGGGGAGACUGGAAUUCCUGGUGUAGCGGUGAAAUGUGUAGAUAUCGCUUGGAACGCCAAUGGUGAAAACAGGUAGCUGGGGGUGUGCUGACACUGAGACACGAAAGCCAGGGGAGCAAACGGG
rnacentral:rRNA from 1 species